UGGCGGCGUCGCCCGGUGCGCCUGCGUCCGCGCGCACAUGCUCCUGCAGCAGCUCCCCGGCCACCAUGAUGCUCGGAGCGCUCGUCGUCCUCCCCCGCAGAGCGGCUUCCUCAUCCGCCGGAGACCGAGAUGAAGUCAAACCAGAACCGAGAGAGAAGAAUCACAACAGCGUCCAGCUCAUCACGAUCAGAUCCGCGAUCCGUGGCCACUGCAGCAGGUGGAGAUCUGGAUCCAGAUCCUGUUCUCGCGAGGUCACAGCAACCAAAGCUUUUCCAGGAUCAAUGAAGAAGUUUCCAGUGACUGAUAUCAUCUCUGCUGUUCUCUGGAGGAUCACAUCACCUCCCUGUCAGGAGAGAUGGUGGAGAGGGAAGAGGUCUCACUCUGUGUCUGUUUUCAGGCACCAACAGAUGGAGUGACGCAUCCCACCAAACACGAAAGAUCUUUGAGCACACAGAGUAUCUUCAGGUUACCCGUCGUCAUGGAAACCUCAGCAUCACUACCCGAGGCCUCUGGA